ACUCCUACGGGAGGCAGCAGUAAGGAAUAUUGGACAAUGGGCGCAAGCCUGAUCCAGCCAUCCCGCGUGCAGGAAGACAGCCCUAUGGGUUUUAAACUGCUUUUAGAAGGGAAGAAACGCCUACAUUUAUGUGGGUUUGACGGUACCUUCAGAAUAAGCACCGGCUAAACCUCCGUGCCAGCAGCCGCGGUAAUACGGAGGGUGCGAGCGUUAUCCGGAAUUACUGGGUUUAAAGGGUGCGUAGGCGGGCGAUUAAGUCAGAGGUGAAAGCUUUCAGCUUAAACAUUGCAUGAAAAUUGCCUUUGAUACUGAUUUGGAUCUUGGU
rnacentral:rRNA from 1 species